rnacentral:rRNA from 1 species
UACGUAGGGGGCAAGCGUUGUCCGGAAUUAUUGGGCGUAAAGAGCUCGUAGGCGGCCUGUUGCGUCCGCUGUGAAAUCCCGGGGCUUAACCCCGGGCCUGCAGUGGAUACGGGCAGGCUGGAGGCAGGCAGGGGAGAACGGAAUUCCCGGUGUAGCGGUGAAAUGCGCAGAUAUCGGGAGGAACACCGGUGGUGUAGACGGCUAUCUGGACCGUAACUGACGCUGAGGCACGAAAGCGUGGGUAGCAAACAGG